rnacentral:lncRNA from 1 species
GCUUGACAACACAACGGCAAAUUUUUUAUCUGAGCAAUAGUCUUACAGUAGUUCCCUAUGGUCCAAGUCAAUUUGAUCAGGUAAAUUUGACAAGGGUUAUAAGAUCAGAUCCUUAUUGCUUUGUGAAGAUGUUUAGCGUUCAGCUUGGUAUUUAUAAGCUAUACAUUCUUCUUGUAAAGAUUAUGAGAUGAUGUUGGUGUAAGUUACUGGCCUUAUCGAAAUAGCAUCUCAACGAGG